CCCUUAGAUGUCCGGGGCCGCACGCGCGCUACACUGAAGGAAUCAGCGUGGCUUUCUCCCUGACCCGAAAGGGUUGGGAAACCCGUUGAAUCUCCUUCGUGAUAGGGAUUGGGGCUUGAAAUUGUUCCCCAUGAACGAGGAAUUCCCAGUAAGCGCGAGUCAUAAGCUCGCGUUGAUUACGUCCCUGCCCUUUGUACACACCGCCCGUCGCUACUACCGACUGAACGGUUUAGUGAGGGCCUCGGAUUGGUCUCGGCCCGCUCUUCACCGGGCGGCGCCGUUGGUCGAGAAGACGCUCGAACUUGAUCGUUUAGAGGAAGUAAAAGUCGUAACA
rnacentral:rRNA from 1 species